rnacentral:lncRNA from 1 species
GAGGAUGACACUGGUGACUGCAAUGACAUGCUGUCAUUUUGUCCCCAGAACCCCUUGUUCAAAUAAUGCCAAGAGUCUCCAUGUGGGCAGGACAUAUAGAGCUUUCUAGAAUUGGCUGCAUCAGCUUUUGCCCUUUGAGAAGAUGCUGCAUUUGAGGCAUGGACCAUUGCAAGUCGCCAACAGGAAAGUUAAAGAAUAGAACUGCACCCUGUGGUGUAGUAUGAAUGUGUAAUAUAGAAUCUUAUUAUGUAUAAUAAAGACUAUGCAAAUAAAAUAUAGGAAAGGUUUAUCGCAAAAAAAAGAAGCGCUGUGCAAUCUAUGAUGUAUGAGUAGGCGUGAAUACUGACGUGAUAAGUAGGCGGGGCUAAAGGCCCGGCCAGCCCUUGAGGGCAAGGUGGGUUUGGGAGGACCACAGGCACAGCAGCUGUUUGUCAGGCAUUGCAUAAUGACACCAUCUGGCUGUGGACACCACACUUUAGGAUGCCACAGGAAGGAGCAGGCACCCUUGCCUUGAAGGCUCAGAACCAAAGGGGCUGUGCUGAAAUAUUUCAUUCCAGAGAUGGGCGAUGUACUUAAGUGAACAGAGGAGGAGCCUAGAGAGAGUAGACACUUUCUUUGCUUCCUGCUUGAUGGAUUUGGAGAAUGGAUCCCAUCUGAAAGAGCAAUACAGAGCUAUCCAACUGAACCUGAACUCACCACAGAGGACAGUACCCUUGGACCCUAGAGCAACAGAGGAAAUUGAAUGCCUUUCCUGUCAAACACGUUAUCCAAAAAGCUACACUAAAAGGUAAAAUCUUAACACAGCGCUCAAAGGAGGAUAUGGGAAUUCCUUUGAUUAGUGUCAACAAUACAGUGUCCCUGUGUAGCUGGUGUACUAAGAGGAGGUCUCCACACAGAUGACAUUUUAUAGUUCAAAUGAGAAGCAAGUAUCCAGCUUUAUAGACCUGAGGAAAAUCGAUAGAUUUGCAGUUGGCUGAAGAGAUAGUAGAUUUAUGCAUUUAACAAACAUGAUGAUGGCUUGAGGAAUACAGAAGAUUUCUUUGUACUAAAAUAUAUUGAGUUGGGCCUGGUGGCACAUGCACUCUGGACACAGAGGGAGAUGAGUCUCUGUGAGUUCAAGGCCAGCCUGGUCUACAGAGAAGAUUCCAGGACAGCUAGGGCUGCACAGAAAAACCC